CGGAGGAUCUCACGCUGGUUGCGGCCUGUUGCGGCCAAGGAAGGUGAUUUGGACACGACGGAUAACCCACAUUCCGAUGACGGCCAGCUGUCACGACGUUGCAUCGAGUACAACCGAUCCUGAUGAUAUAGCUUUUGCUGGAUAACGGCACAAAGGUGCACGCCUCAGAUAAAGACGAUCUGUCCGCCAAGGCUGGAACUAGCUCUGUCAACCUGAACGUGGCCGAUUUGUGAAAAUUUACCUCGCCGCAGUACGCGGCCAUAAUGGAAAGUCCGCAAACUGUUGAUCAAGUGAUGGCGCUGGAGUGCUCAAUGACCGAUCGGCUGAGGAGCAUCGUCUCAAGAAGGAAAGCUUGGUAUACGUGCAUUUGUUUUUCCUAUGUUGUUCACACAUGGCACCGAACCGUUAUGUAGGACCAAGAUGCUCAAACGAGUCUGGAUCUGGUUACCACCGACGAAACCUUCACGAUACCGGAGUUACUAUGACGCUGUUGGUCUCAUUUCUUCAGAUCCUGGCUGCUGCCACCUCCGUCUAGUACGUGUCGCCGAAUUGAAACUCGACGGUUUAGUGCUUCAAACCAACGACUAGCUGUCCGCCUUCCUCAGAUGGAUGAAUUUAUCGAUACGGUGGAGAGCGCGCCAAUCAUGAUGGGCAUCUUGCCCUAAGGCACAAGGAUCUGAAACGUGUCGAUGUACGGCCUCCGGCACAAGCCACUGAGAAUGAUCCCGCACUUACGAGAUUUGGAUCUGAUGAUUAUUGUAGUGUUGAUAUCAUCUUGACUACAUCAGCUGUAAGAAAUGCAUUUUUUAUUUUACAGUCAAUCUCGCAGAGAUAAAUUCACAGUUUGAUAAGCUUUUUUCCUACACUUUUAUAUUACUCCGUUGAAUUUAAAAUCUGAUACUACUUUUCAAGCUCUUAGCCCAAUGUAGU